GGACAUUGCGUCUGUUGCCAUAAUUGGGCGCAUUUAUGGCCCGUUAUGGCGUAGGCUGACGGUGAGUAACGGUCGUAAAUCGACGAUUCAGGUAUGAAAAUCGCCUAUUUAGGGGCAAACUCGUCGAGUUUCAAGGGGCGAGAUGUACAGUCUACCAUACUACCGAUCUGGAUCCUAACUCGGCGACUUACCCCUAAAGUCGGCGAUUUGGUAGUCCAAUCGCGAUUUGCGGGUUAACUCGAUGAUUUAACGAUGAACGUGUUCCGCACCGUGGGAGCCUUCCGAGGGUCCGGCAUAAAGCGACGGAACCCUAGUCCUUAUUGAAGGGCGUUGUUGGGAGUGAUUGCCGUAAUCAGGCAUGUCUCACCAGUACCCCCCAUUGAAGAGAGCACAAGAAACAUGCGUGUAUCGCUAAUGGUCUCUCUCCCUCUGAGAGGGCAUGCCUUUUGGAGCUUCAAAGAGAUCGCAAUACUCUUGAACAAUAAAGGUGAGUUCCGGAUUUUCACAAUUCAGACUUUCAGUGUUCUUGUGCUCUUAUAGAUAACAUAGGUAGGCCUCAGUAGUGGAU
rnacentral:lncRNA from 1 species